AAAAUCGAUACACACACUGCCUCAGCUCCCUUUUUCUCCUUGUGAAUGUCGCAGCCCCUCUCUCUCUCUCUCUCUCUCUCCAAACCACCUCACCCCAACACCGUCGCCCAUACAGAAUCUAAUCAGUCUAAAUUAGACAAUCCAGAAGCCGAUUUCGCCUUCGCCGACUUCAUCCUCCUCGGUGGCGUCUUCGGCGACCCUAACGUGUUCAAAGCAAUCACUGAUGGAGGCUCAUCGACUAUUGCAGAUGGGAAACCAGAGGCCGCGGCUGAGAUCCUCAAUCGCCUGACCCAGGUGACCAAUCCGAGACCCAGUUCCGAGCAGAGGCUGCUUGAGUUCGUGACUUCGGCGUUGAAGUCACGGGUCAAUCAGAGACCCAAACCCUCAUCCUCCCCGAAGCUUGUAGACCCCUCCCCCUCCCCCGCCGCCCCCAACCCUCUCCGCGAGGCCGAGGACCUCAUCCGCAAUGCCAUUGAGGAGCUCCAGCGCUGCCAGCACUCCGUCGCAAUGGAGGCGAGCAUCAACGAUACCUAGUAAGGUUUUGUUUGCUGUUUGGUUUCGUAUGGGUUACUAUUUUCUUGGUUUCAAAGUUGUUGCUAUGUAGUUGUUAUUCAAGUUGUAGCCAUAUGGUAGAUGAAGAAUGACUUUAGUACUUGGAGUUUGAUGAUGGUUGUGAGUUGGGACUUGGUUCAAGUGUGGCAGUUUGUAUUUGGAUUUGUAGGCAAUUGUCGUAGAAUCAGACUGCCUAGUGUCCCCACUUCCUAUUCGCAGUAUGCUCUUUAUGAUCUCAGCUUAUGAUUCCUUGUUUUUAUAUGGUGAUGUUGAUGUAGAUGCUUAGUAUAGGCAAAAUGGGGCUUGAUCAUGGUUGUAUUUAUUUCACUUUGUAAUGUGUAUAUGCAUGUCUUACAUACAAUCUAGGAUUAAUAUAUGUUCAUAAUGCAGGUUGGGAAAGCUGGUGGUAAGAAAUGAAAGUCAAUGACUGCUACUGAAAAAGCUCCCCAUGUCGAAAAAGCAUUAAAGAGGAAGGCCGAGCAUGGAAUAGCUGUGAAGGAAUAUGAGAAGAAGCAGGUAAAUAUUCUGUCUGUUUUUGGUUUCAUGUUCAUUCAUUGCAGUUACUUGAAUGCCAAAGCUUACUUAGCCUCUCUUGCUAGACUUAGAAGCAAAGAAUGAAUUGGCUUUCAUGAGUAAGUUCUUUUAAGCAGACACUGGCCAUAAUCUUAUUUUGAUGUAAACAAGAGGUGUGUGGACAUACAACUGGAAAUAUCACAAUUCUUUUGCAACUGCAGACCAACUUGUUCAUCCUUUGAUCAAUGGUUAAUGUCUUCUGCUUCUUUAGUUUUGUUUCUUAUGUGGGGAAUUUAAUUGCAUUUGCAUGUCAAAUUUGGGGGGAUUUGGAGGAAGAUCACUUGUUAGACUUGCAUUGGAGAAGAUGGUGAAGUUUCAGCAUUAUGAGUUCUCAUUUUAGGAUCAGUUUAAGGAAUUGAUCCUAUCAAGCAGCGUUGAGUCCUAGCCAGGAUAGCUAGCUGGAGCACAAACUUUAAGGAUUCGUGUGAUAUUGUGAUAAUGUUCAUUAUAUCGGUUACAAGGACUCGGAUGGAAACUCUUUUAAUGAGAUUGAUGCAUGGGCUAAUCAUAUCCAUAAAUUAUGGAGAAGGUAUUUCCUUAGAUCCAAGCUGAUAUUGAUGAGAUCAAGGAGUACGUGGGCUAAGUUUGUCGUAGCCAAGUAUAUGUCGGAGCUUGUACGUUUUCAUUCAAUAGGUACUAGGAGUAAAGAGCUUUGGAUAUUUGAAUACUUGAAUGAUAUGGUUUAUGGAUCUUUUGGUAUGAUCACUACUUUUAGUAUUGGCUUUUA